UACGUAGGGUGCGAGCGUUAAUCGGAAUUACUGGGCGUAAAGGGUGCGCAGGCGGCGUCGCAAGUCAGGCGUGAAAUCCCCGGACUUAACCUGGGAACUGCACUUGAAACUACGAUGCUGGAGUAUGGCAGAGGGAGGUGGAAUUCCACGUGUAGCGGUGAAAUGCGUAGAGAUGUGGAGGAACACCGAUGGCGAAGGCAGCCUCCUGGGCCAAUACUGACGCUCAUGCACGAAAGCGUGGGGAGCAAACAGG
rnacentral:rRNA from 1 species